UGAAUAAUAGCUCUUCAAGUCUGCAAUAAAAAAUGGCCUCCAAUAAAACUACAUUGCAAAAAAUGGGAAAGAAACAAAAUGGAAAGAGUAAAAAAGUUGAAGAGGCAGAACCUGAAGAAUUUGUAGUAGAAAAAGUACUAGACUGCUGUGUAGUGAACGGGAAGGUGGAGUAUUUUUUGAAGUGGAAGGGAUUUACAGAUGCAGACAAUACUUGGGAACCUGAAGAAAAUUUAGAUUGUCCAGAGUUAAUUGAAGCAUUUCUUAAUUCUCAAAAAGCUGGUAAAGAAAAAGAUGGAGCAAAAAGAAAAUCUUUGUCUGACAGUGAAUCUGAUGAUAGCAAAUCAAAGAAGAAAAGAGAUGCUGCUGAUAAGCCGAGAGGUUUUGCCAGAGGUCUUGAUCCAGAACGAAUAAUUGGUGCCACAGACAGCAGUGGAGAAUUAAUGUUCCUCAUGAAAUGGAAAGAUUCCGAUGAGGCGGACUUGGUACUGGCAAAAGAGGCAAAUAUGAAGUGUCCUCAAAUUGUAAUUGCUUUUUAUGAAGAGAGACUAACUUGGCAUUCUUGUCCAGAAGAUGAGGCUCAAUAAUUGUUUGCAUUGCCUUUUAUAUAUAUUUUUAUAUAUAUAUAAAAUGUGGGUCUUGGUUUUUUGAUUUAUUAGUGUGAAGAAAUAACUACAUUCUGAUGAAAAUCAUUGAUAUGUUUGUUUUCAAGUAAUACUGGGGAAGUUACAUUGGGUUUUUUUUUUUUUUUUUUCCAUCUGUAGCACCGGUUACUUUGAACAAAUAAAAGCUUUCUGUAGUUGCUUCCUUCAGUAGG